rnacentral:rRNA from 1 species
UACGUAGGGUGCAAGCGUUGUCCGGAUUUAUUGGGCGUAAAGAGCUCGUAGGCGGUUCGGUAAGUCAGGUGUGAAAUCUCCACGCUCAACGUGGAGGCGCCACCUGAAACUGCCGUGACUCGAGUCCGGUAGGGGAGUGUGGAAUUCCCGGUGUAGCGGUGAAAUUCGUAGAUAUCGGGAGGAACACCGGUGGCGAAGGCGGCGAUCUGGGUCGAUACUGACGCUGAGGUGCGAAAGCGUGGGGAGCAAACAGG